ACGGUCCUAAGGUAGCGAAAUUCCUUGUCGGGUAAGUUCCGACCUGCACGAAUGGCGUAAUGAUGGCCAGGCUGUCUCCACCCGAGACUCAGUGAAAUUGAACUCGCUGUGAAGAUGCAGUGUACCCGCGGCAAGACGGAAAGACCCCGUGAACCUUUACUAUAGCUUGACACUGAACAUUGAGCCUUGAUGUGUAGGAUAGGUGGGAGGCUUUGAAGCGUGGACGCCAGUCUGCGUGGAGCCAACCUUGAAAUACCACCCUUUAAUGUUUGAUGUUCUAACGUUGGCCCCUUACCGGGGUUGCGGACAGUGUCUGGUGGGUAGUUUGACUGGGGCGGUCUCCUCCCAAAGCGUAACGGAGGAGCACGAAGGUUAGCUAAUCCUGGUCGGACAUCAGGAGGUUAGUGCAAUGGCAUAAGCUAGCUUGACUGCGAGCGUGACGGCGCGAGCAGGUGCGAAAGCAGGUCAUAGUGAUCCGGUGGUUCUGAAUGGAAGGGCCAUCGCUCAACGGAUAAAAGGUACUCCGGGGAUAACAGGCUGAUACCGCCCAAGAGUUCAUAUCGACGGCGGUGUUUGGCACCUCGAUGUCGGCUCAUCACAUCCUGGGGCUGAAGUAGGUCCCAAGGGUAUGGCUGUUCGCCAUUUAAAGUGGUACGCGAGCUGGGUUUAGAACGUCGUGAGACAGUUCGGUCCCUAUCUGCCGUGGGCGCUGGAGAAUUGAGGGGGGCUGCUCCUAGUACGAGAGGACCGGAGUGGACGCAUCACUGGUGUUCGGGUUGUCAUGCCAAUGGCACUGCCCGGUAGCUAAAUGCGGAAGAGAUAAGUGCUGAAAGCAUCUAAGCACGAAACUUGCCCCGAGAUGAGUUCUCCCUGAGACUUUAAGUCUCCUGAAGGAACGUUAAAGACGAUGACGUUGAUAGGCCGGGUGUGUAAGCGCAGCGAUGCGUUGAGCUAACCGGUACUAAUGAACCGUGAGGCUUAACCUU
rnacentral:rRNA from 1 species